CAAUAGCGUAUAUUAAAGUUGUUGCAGUUAGAACGCUCGUAGUCGGAUUUCGGGGCGGGCCGACCGGUCUGCCGAUGGGUACGCACUGGUCGGCGCGUCCUUCCUUCCGGAGACCGUGCCUACUCUUAACUGAGCGGGGGCGGGAGACGGAUCGUUUACUUUGAAAAAAUCAGAGUGUUUCAAGCAGGCAGCUCGCUCUUGCAUGGAUUAGCAUGGGAUAAUGAAAUAGGACUUUGGUGCUAUUUUGUUGGUUUCGAACACCGAAGUAAUGAUUAACAGGGGCAGUCAGGGGCACUCGUAUUCCGCCGAGAGAGGUGAAAUUCUCAGACCAGCGGAAGACGAACUACUGCGAAAGCAUUUGCCAGGGAUGUUUUCACUG
rnacentral:rRNA from 1 species